CGUUCUAAUCUUAGCCGUUUAUUUUUAAUCAAUAAAGGAUUAAGAUUUAUACAUAAAAAAAGAUAACCUGCUACUGCACAAGUAGUACCGAUCACCCGGAAUGUGAUCUAGGAUUUUUUUUUUGAAAAAAGAAAGAGCUAAUAUUAAAAAGUUAAAUAACUAAUAUUGGAAAGUUUUGCAUACUGCCCUUAAAUCAUGAAGAGAAUAAAUUUUUAAUUAAAUUAUUCAUUUUUAAAUUUAAUUUUAAUAAUAAUUUAUGAACGCAUUUGAGUCAUAAAUUUAGUAAUUUAUAAUUUUAAAUUAAUUUU
rnacentral:lncRNA from 1 species